rnacentral:rRNA from 1 species
UUUCGAAUUAUUCACAAUGGGCGAAAGCCUGAUGGUGCGACGCCGCGUGAGGGAUGAAGGUCUUCGGAUUGUAAACCUCUGUCACCGGGGAAGAAUGGCCAUGACCUAAUACGUCAUGGAUUGACUUAACCCGGAGAGGAAGCAGUGGCUAACUCUGUGCCAGCAGCCGCGGUAAUACAGAGACUGCAAGCGUUAUUCGGAUUCACUGGGCGUAAAGGGUGCGCAGGCGGUUAUGUGUGUUAGGUGUGAAAGCCCGAGGCUCAACCUCGGAAUUGCGCCUAAAACUACAUGACUAGAGUACCGGAGAGGAUAGCGGAAUUCACGGUGUAGCAGUGAAAUGCGUAGAUAUCGUGAAGAACACCAGCGGCGAAGGCGGCUAUCUGGAAGGUAACUGACGCUCAGGCACGAAAGCGUGGGGAGCAAAAG